UGGCCAUCGGCAUUGAUACUGGUUAUCGACACGAACACAUUGCCACCUCUGGACUUAGUCACAUUCAGUUGUUUCCUCAUCGGCAACUUCCUUCAUCGGCAACUUAUCUGUAGACUUGCUACCGUUGCUUCAUCUGUCGAUCUAUACUUUACUAUCCCCAGAUACGCAUCAAAAGAUACGUGUCCAAAAAUGGUGUCAACACAGGUAUUUAUAGUUCUCUCUUGAGGCAUUAAUGAUGUUAUGCCUCCUAUAGCUAAAGGUAUAUAUGGUAGAGCUUAUAGGAGUGUCAAUAACAAGGAUAGGCAUACUUGCAAUGCAUGUGUUGUAAAGUCUACUAAUGGAUCCAUAGAGAAUCGAGGCAUAAAAUCAAACUAAGAUGUGCAUGUGUAUGGAAUAUGAUGGAUAUGUGCAUUUGUUGUAUUUGUGGCUAAUUUCUAUUUGAUUGGGAAUAGCUCUCUAUUGAAACUUUUCAGGAAAUACAUGGGCUAUCUUUAUUAUUUAUUUUUAUUCAGGGAGGCAGGCAUCUAGUACCCAUUGUUUUGAUUACUGAGACACUUGUGCAUCUUUUACUCCCCCCUUUCUCUCUUUUCUUCUUUUUUUUGUUUUCUUUUCUUAGCCACAUGCAUUCUUUGAGUACAAUAAAUGAAUCGAGAGAUAUAAUCAGGACUUAGAGCAUUAAAGACAGGGGUUAUCCUAUAGGGUGAUUGUAUAUUUUUGUGUCCUCUCCCAGUGUAGGAGGAGAACAUUUUAUGAUGAACAUGUAUGAAAAUAUGGUGAAUGAUUGCGAUUAUUCCUAAAGUAGGAAAAAUGCAUAUGUGGACUGGAGUGUGCAAGUGUUUCUUGGUUUUAAAAGCAUGACAAGACUCUCUCAAGGUAUACAACACAGGUUGACUGAACUCAAAGCAAAGCAAGUAGCUUAAAUGUGAAAAGGCUUUUUUAAUCCUCUAAGAUAUUAAUGCUGGCUUUGGUAGGAAUUCACAUUUGCCAUACAAGAGCUCAUCAUAAAUUUUGUUCUUUUAUAUAAACCUCAAGAACUUAGCAAUGCUAGGAGUAAGAUAAAUAGCAGCUUGACCUUCAUGAAUCUUAUCAAUCCACUACCUAGACUUAGUGCAAGCGUAUGCCUCCACAAUUAAGAUUCAGAAUAUAUUCUCCAAUUAAGACAACCCAUUAGAACCAAGUAGAUUUAAAUUUGGCAGUUAGGUACUUGGUGAGCAUUAUAACAGAGAA
rnacentral:lncRNA from 1 species